CGUGUAGGCGGUUAUCCAAGUCAGGUGUGAAAGCCUUGAGCUCAACUCAAGAAAUGCACUUGGUACUGGGUGACUAGAGGACCGGAGGGGAUAGUGGAAUUCCCAGUGUAGUGGUGAAAUACGUAGAGAUUGGGAAGAACACCAGUGGCGAAGGCGGCUAUCUGGACGGUUUCUGACGCUAAGACGCGAAAGCGUGGGGAGCAAACA
rnacentral:rRNA from 1 species